rnacentral:lncRNA from 1 species
CUAAUUCGAUCGAAGGUUAUCUAUCACACAGAAGAGAUGAUGUUGGAAACGAAUUAUAAACAAAGUCCAUAUGAUGCCAAUCGAUGAAUCCAAGUGUUCGACAUGCUUCUUUUACGAUCAAAGCUUCCCCAACCACAACUUAGAGAAAUAUUCUCUGAAAUAAAAAAAAUUAAAAAAAUAUUUUUCAUUCAUAAUCAUGACAGACAUGGUAGAUUUGUUCGGUUGACUUUUACUUGUAUCAUCAAUAUGAUGGUCAUGAGUCUUGAUCGAGAAUGAAUAUUUUUCAAUUCAAAUCCUUAAAUAUAUUAUAAUAAUAUUAUUUAUAAGUAUAUUGUAAUCAUCGAUAAUUAUUUCCUGAAUAUAAAUUAAUU